AGGACGAACGCUGGCGGCGUGCUUAACACAUGCAAGUCGAGCGGAAAGGCCCUUCGGGGUACUCGAGCGGCGAACGGGUGAGUAACACGUGAGCAACCUGCCCCUGGCUCUGGGAUAGCCUCCGGAAACGGGGAUUAAUACCGGACAUUCACUUCCUUCCGCAUGGUUGGUGGUGGAAAGUUUUUUCGGCCGGGGAGGGCUCGCGGCCUAUCAGCUUGUUGGCGGGGUAACGGCCCACCAAGGCGACGACGGGUAGCCGG
rnacentral:rRNA from 1 species